UACGAAGGGGGCAAGCGUUGUCCGGAAUCAUUGGGCGUAAAGAGCGUGUAGGCGGCCCGAUAAGUCCGCUGUGAAAGUCCAGGGCUCAACCCUGGAAUGCCAGUGGAAACUGUCGGGCUGGAGUCCGGAAGAGGCGAGUGGAAUUCCUGGUGUAGCGGUGAAAUGCGCAGAUGUCAGGAGGAACACCAAUGGCGAAGGCAGCUCGCUGGGACGGUACUGACGCUGAGACGCGAAAGCGUGGGGAGCAAACAGG
rnacentral:rRNA from 1 species